CCUACGGGAGGCAGCAGUGAGGAAUAUUGGUCAAUGGGCGCGAGCCUGAACCAGCCAAGUAGCGUGAAGGAUGACUGCCCUACGGGUUGUAAACUUCUUUUAUAAAGGAAUAAAGUGAGGCACGUGUGCCUUUUUGUAUGUACUUUAUGAAUAAGGAUCGGCUAACUCCGUGCCAGCAGCCGCGGUAAUACGGGAGAUCCGAGCGUUAUCCGGAUUUAUUGGGGUUAAAGGGAGGGUAGAGGGGGUGUUAAGUCAGUUGUGAAAGUUGGCGGCGCAACCGUAACAUUACAAUUGAUAAUGGCAGUCUUGAGUACAGUUGAGGUAGGCGGAAUGCGUGGUGGAGCGGUGAAAUGCUUAGAUAUCACGAAGAACUCCGAUUGCGAAGGCAGCUUACUAAACUGCCACUGACAUUGAGGCUCGAAAGUGUGGGUAUCAAACAGGAUUAGAUACCCCAGUAGUC
rnacentral:rRNA from 1 species